rnacentral:rRNA from 1 species
UACGUAGGGUGCAAGCGUUAAUCGGAAUUACUGGGCGUAAAGCGUGCGCAGGCGGUUUUGUAAGUUUGUCGUGAAAGCCCCGGGCUCAACCUGGGAAUUGCGAUGAAGACUGCAAGGCUUGAAUCUGGCAGAGGGGGGUAGAAUUCCACGUGUAGCAGUGAAAUGCGUAGAGAUGUGGAGGAAAACCGAUGGCGAAGGCAGCCCCCUGGGUCAAGAUUGACGCUCAUGCACGAAAGCGUGGGGAGCAAACAGG